GAUGAACGCUGGCGGCGUGCCUAAUACAUGCAAGUCGAGCGAACAGACGAGGAGCUUGCUCCUCUGACGUUAGCGGCGGACGGGUGAGUAACACGUGGAUAACCUACCUAUAAGACUGGGAUAACUUCGGGAAACCGGAGCUAAUACCGGAUAACAUGUUGAACCGCAUGGUUCAACAGUGAAAGACGGUCUUGCUGUCACUUAUAGAUGGAUCCGCGCCGCAUUAGCUAGUUGGUAAGGUAACGGCUUACCAAGGCAACGAUGCGUAGCCGACCUGAGAGGGUGAUCGGCCACACUGGAACUGAGACACGGUCCAGACUCCUACGGGAGGCAGCAGUAGGGAAUCUUCCGCAAUGGGCGAAAGCCUGACGGAGCAACGCCGCGUGAGUGAAGAAGGUCUUCGGAUCGUAAAACUCUGUUAUUAGGGAAGAACAGAUGUGUAAGUAACUAUGCACGUCUUGACGGUACCUAAUCAGAAAGCCACGGCUAACUACGU
rnacentral:rRNA from 1 species